rnacentral:rRNA from 1 species
CAAGAGCGUAUAUUAAAGUUGUUGCAGUUAAAAAGCUCGUAGUUGGAUUUCUGGUACAAUGCGCCUGGCCCGCGACGGUUACGUCUGUGAGUGCCGGUGCGCGUUUGCCAUCCUUCUAGAGAACGUUUCUACCCUUUACUGGGCCGGACUCGCGAUCUAGAUCUUUUACUUUGAAAAAAUUAGAGUGUUCAAAGCAGGCUGUUGCUGUGCAUACAUUAGCAUGGAAUAAUAAUCUAGGACUUCGGUUCUAUUUUGUUGGUUUCUAGAUCUGAAGUAAUGAUUGAUAGGGAUAGUUGGGGGUGCUAGUAUUGGCCGGCCAGAGGUGAAAUUCUUGGAUUCGGUCAAGACUAACUUAUGCGAAAGCAUUCACCAAGGAUGUCUUCUUUAA